GCUUGGGUGGCUCAGUCGUUUAAGUGUCUGACUUCAGUUCAGUUUAUGAUCUCACAGUUUGUGGGUUCAAGCCCCACGUCAAGCU
rnacentral:tRNA from 1 species